CCUACGGGAGGCAGCAGUAGGGAAUCUUCCACAAUGGGCGAAAGCCUGAUGGAGCAACGCCGCGUGGGUGAAGAAGGUCUUCGGAUCGUAAAACCCUGUUGUUAGAGAAGAAAGUGCGUGAGAGUAACUGUUCACGUUUCGACGGUAUCUAACCAGAAAGCCACGGCUAACUACGUGCCAGCAGCCGCGGUAAUACGUAGGUGGCAAGCGUUAUCCGGAUUUGUUGGGCGUAAAGGGAACGCAGGCGGUCUUUUAAGUCUGAUGUGAAAGCCUUCGGCUUAACCGGAGUAGUGCAUUGGAAACUGGGAGACUUGAGUGCAGAAGAGGAGAGUGGAACUCCAGGUGUAGCGGUGAAAUGCGUAGAUAUAUGGAAGAACCCCAGUGGCGAAAGCGGCUCUCUGGUCUGUAACUGACACUGAGGCUCGAAAGUGUGGGUAUCAAACAGGAUUAGAUACCCUAGUAGUC
rnacentral:rRNA from 1 species